AGGAUUUUGAUCUAUCUCUUACCGUAAUAUUCUCAAAAAUUAAGAGCAAAAUGGAUUAUGGCUCGAUGGUUUUUGAAGUUAACGUCGUCGACGAGAGAUUCCAAGUAAAAACUAUUCGAUACCUACACGACUCUAAAUUGGCAGCUUCCAGUACUGCUGAAGGAGAACACUACCGCUCUCUUGCUCAUAAAGGCCUUCCAGCUGUGCAAUUGGAUCCCGAGCUCGUUGCGGCAGCUGAAGAGUAUAUGGAGGCACGUGGAUUAACAAGCGAAAUAGCAAAAUACUUAUUAAAAUUUUACGAAUUUAAAAAGAAUCGGGACUUUCUCGCUUGGAUUAAAAACAUU